GAUGAACGCUGGCGGCGUGCCUAAUACAUGCAAGUCGAGCGAACGGACGAGAAGCUUGCUUCUCUGAUGUUAGCGGCGGACGGGUGAGUAACACGUGGAUAACCUACCUAUAAGACUGGGAUAACUUCGGGAAACCGUAGCUAAUACCGGAUAAUAUUUUGAACCGCAUGGUUCAAAAGUGAAAGACGGUCUUGCUGUCACUUAUAGAUGGAUCCGCGCUGCAUUAGCUAGUUGGUAAGGUAACGGCUUACCAAGGCAACGAUGCAUAGCCGACCUGAGACGGUGAUCGGCCACACUGGAACUGAGACACGGUCCAGACUCCUACGGGAGGCAGCAGUAGGGAAUCUUCCGCAAUGGGCGAAAGCCUGACGGAGCAACGCCGCGUGAGUGAUGAAGGUCUUCGGAUCGUAAAACUCUGUUAUUAGGGAAGAACAUAUGUGUAAGUAACUGUGCACAUCUUGACGGUACCUAAUCAGAAAGCCACGGCUAACUACGUG
rnacentral:rRNA from 1 species